rnacentral:lncRNA from 1 species
UUUCCCUUCUGAAUAACUCAUCAUGAAUAUUUAUAUAGUCAAUUAUUCCCCUUAACUUUUUCCUUAGUGACUAAUCUAAACAAGUUACUGUUUCUCCUUGAUGUGGACAAUGUGAGAGUCCCUGCAGACUACUAUUCCCUCCUGGCAAUGUGCUGUGGGGAUACAUAAUUUGGAAAAGCCAAGCACAUUUGGUUUUUGAGCUUUACCCAUGAGUCAAAUUCUCCAGCCACACUGGAAUUCUUUUUUCUUAAUCUUUUUGCCUGUCCA